rnacentral:rRNA from 1 species
CCUACGGGUGGCAGCAGUGGGGAAUAUUGCACAAUGGGGGAAACGCUGAUGCAGCGACGCCGCGUGAGUGAAGAAGGAUUUCGGGAUGUAAAGCUCUAUCAGCAGGGAAGAAAAUGACGGUACCUGAGGAAGAAGCCCCGGCUAACUACGUGCCAGAAGCCGUGGUAAUAUGUAGGGGGCAAGCGUUAUCCGGAUUUACUGGGUGUAAAGGGAGCGUAGUGGGCAGCGCAAGUCUGAAGUGAAAUGCCGGGGCUUAACCCCGGAACUGCUUUGGAAACUGUGAAACUAGAGUGCAGGCGAGGUAAGUGGAAUUCCUAGUGUAGCGGUGAAAUGCGUAGAUAUUAGGAGGAACACCAGUGGCGAAGGCGGCUUACUGGACUGUAACUGACGUUGAGGCUCGAAAGCGUGGGGAGCAAACAGGAUUAGAUACCCUUGUAGUC